rnacentral:rRNA from 1 species
AGAGAAUAGAUACCCAGGUAGUCCUGGCAGUAAACGGUGCACGUUUGGUGUGGGAGGUUUCGACCCCUUCUGCGCCGGAGCUAAACGCGUUAAACGUGCCGCCUGGGGAGUACGGUCGCAAGAUUAAAACCUCAAAGAAAUUGACGGGGGUCCCGCACAAGCGGUGGAGUAUGUGGCUUAAUUCGAUGCAACGCGAAGAACCUUACCUGGCCUUGACAUGCAUCUCUAAGUUGGUGAAAGCCAGCGAGUGUAGCAAUACACAAUUUGCACAGGUGCUGCAUGGCUGUCGUCAGCUCGUGUCGUGAGAUGUUGGGUUUAAGUCCCGCAACGAGCGCAACCCCGUGUGUCCUGUUGCCACCCGUCUGUAAACGAGGCGCACUCUGGACAGACUGCCCUGUGAAACCGGGGGUAGGAAGGUGGGGAUGACGUCAAGUCAGUAUGGCCCUUACGGCCAGGGCUGCACACGUACUACAAUGCCCAGCACAGAAUGAACCGAAACCGGCGAGGUGGAGGAAACUCUACUAAAACCUGGGCUCAGUUCGG